rnacentral:rRNA from 1 species
GACAGAGGGUGCAAACGUUGUUCGGAUUUACUGGGCGUAAAGCGUGUGUAGGCGGCUUGGCAAGUUGGAUGUGAAAGCCCACGGCUCAACCGUGGAAGCGCACCCAAAACUGCUUCGCUCGAGUCUCGAAGAGGAAGGUGGAAUGCUUGGUGUAGAGGUGAAAUUCGUAGAUAUCAGGAGGAACACCGGUGGCGAAGGCGGGUCUCUGGGCCGAUACUGACGCUGAGGAGCGAAAGCGUGGGGAGCGAACAGG